CCUGGCCUUAAUACCAGCUAGCCACAAGGCUGAGGGAUCAAAGUCUGGCUCAGCGCUAUCGAUCCACUGGCCUGAUUACCAUCACACACCAAACAGAGCACAAUGUCUGGGACUCUGAUAACACAACUACACUGGACUGUGUGUGUGGGUGGGUGUGUGUGUGCGCACCCUUUUGUGCUGUCACAUUCUGUCUUUGUGAGUGUGCAUGUGCCUGUGUGUGUACAUGUAUGUGUGCCCGUGCCUCUGUGUGUGUCAGAGCCUGUGUUGGAUUAGUGCGUAAAGCUGUAGUGCGGUCACACUGGAGGAGUGCGGUUAACUGAUAAAUGACCUGUGAUGUGGGAGUAAUGUGUGCUUGGGGAUCUCUGGGAUUGUUUUAUGAAUUGACCUCUCUAGAACAAAGUAAUGCACAGACUCUAGAGCACAUGAGUGGUUCCAUUCAGUGAUUUUCCUCCUGGUUGUGCUCCAGAAAGCACUCGCCCAGCUCUCUCUCUCUCUCUCUCUCUCUCUCUCUCUCUCUCUCUCUCUCUCUCCGUAGCAGCAGCACAGUAGCACAGAAGCAGGCCGGGUGUUGAGUUCACAUGGCCGUCUGGUGUCAGUUACUGUGCUUUCUGUGGGGAUGAAGCCAGGGCUACCAGCUUCCUGUAGAUCGCUUUACCUUCAAAUGGAGCUCCUAAGGUGCUUUCUACUCUCAGGCGUUUGGUGUGUGACUCAGUAGAGAGUAGGGGGGAACUCCGUGUCAACUAUCAGCACUUACAGUAACAGCUGGAGCCAAUCCUCUCUGGGUCAAAUUAUAUCAACCCAAUGUAUUUUCUAACUCCUCAGGUCCAGGGUCACAUGCCUCCGCUCAUGAUCCCUAUUUUUCCACACGACCAGCGUACACCUGGCGCAGCCGCCGCCGCCGCAGCAGGGCUUUCUCUUCCCACCGGGAAUCUCUUACAAGCCAGGUAUGCUCCUCUCGUUCUCUCUCUCUGUUGUUUCUUCCUGUGUCUCUGUCUGUCCUGUUCUC
rnacentral:lncRNA from 1 species